AUAGUGACGUGUGAGGAUUGAUAUCCCUUGGGACCUAUUGCAUGUAAUGGCUCUUUUAAUAUCCUACUAGGGAAUACCCUUGAGUGUUUUCUUCUGGAGCCCAACUUUUUCUUUGUGUUUCUUUCCGGAUAUGACGCUGUUGUAUGGACAUUCUGAGAGGGUGAGAUAUAUUUGUUUUGAAAUUUUGGAACUUGUAGCCUGUACUUUGUUUCUGAACGUGCAGAGCAUGAUGGCAGCAUCUGAGGUCGCUGGCGUGGUGGCCACUGCUCCCAGUCCUCCGGAAUCCUCGUCUAGUGUAUGUGCUUCCAAACCAGACGAAGUUCUCCCAGAUGGUCUAAGCCCCAAAGACCCUGCACAGAAGCACAAGAACUCGCCUCUGUCGAGUGUAAGUAACCAAACGAUAACCAAGGAGAAUAACAGAAAUGCCCAUUUGGAACACCCAGAGCAGAAUCCUGGUUCAUCAGCAGGUGACACUUCAGCAGCGCACCGGGCGGUUUUAGGAGAAAACUUGAUAGCCACGGCCCUUUGUCUCUCUGGCGGUGGGUCUCAGUCUGAUUUGAAGGACGUGGCCAGCACAGCGGGAGAGGAGGGGGACACACGCCUCCGGGAGAGCCUCCACCCCGCCACUCGGUCUCUUAAGGCAGGGUGCGAUACAAAGCAGCUUGCCUCCGGGAAUUGUCCUGAAGAGAAGGCCCCGCAAGCCUCCAUCCUAAAGGAAGGGAGCAGGGACACAGGCUUGGAUUUCCCACCUGUGGUGCCUCCAGCAAAUGGGGUUGAAGGAGUCAGAGUGGAUCAGGAUGAUGAUCAGGAUAGCUCUUCCCUGAAGCUUUCUCAGAACAUUGCCGUCCAGACUGACUUUAAGACGGCUGAUUCAGAGGUAAACACAGAUCAAGAUAUUGAAAAGAAUCUGGAUAAAAUGAUGACAGAGAGAACCCUGUUGAAGGAGCGUUACCAGGAGGUCCUGGACAAGCAGAGGCAAGUGGAGAAUCAGCUCCAAGUGCAAUUAAAGCAACUUCAGCAAAGGAGAGAAGAAGAAAUGAAGAAUCACCAGGAGAUAUUAAAGGCUAUCCAGGACGUAACAAUAAAGCGAGAAGAAACGAAGAAGAAGAUAGAGAAAGAAAAGAAGGAGUUUUUGCAGAAGGAGCAGGAUCUGAAAGCUGAAAUUGAGAAGCUUUGUGAGAAGGGCAGAAGAGAAGUGUGGGAAAUGGAACUGGAUAGACUCAAGAAUCAAGAUGGUGAAAUAAAUCGGAACAUUAUGGAAGAGACAGAACGUGCCUGGAAGGCAGAGAUCUUAUCACUAGAGAGUCGGAAAGAGUUGUUGGUAUUGAAACUAGAAGAAGCAGAAAAAGAGGCAGAACUGCACCUUACUUACCUCAAGUCAACUCCCCCAACAUUAGAGACAGUUCGUUCCAAACAGGAGUGGGAGACAAGACUGAAUGGAGUUCGGAUAAUGAAAAAGAAUGUUCGGGACCAAUUUAAUAGUCAUAUCCAGCUAGUGAGGAAUGGAGCCAAGCUGAGCAGCCUUCCUCAGAUCCCGACUCCCACUUUGCCUCCACCCCCAUCAGAGACAGACUUCAUGCUUCAGGUGUUUCAACCCAGUCCCUCUCUGGCUCCUCGGAUGCCUUUCUCCAUUGGGCAGGUCACAAUGCCCAUGGUUAUGCCCAGUGCAGAUCCCCGUUCCUUGUCUUUCCCGAUCCUGAACUCUGCCCUUUCCCAGCCCAACCAGCCUUCCCCACCCCUUCCUGGCUCCCAUGGGAGAAAUAGCCCUGGCUUGGGUUCCCUUGUCGGCCCCCAUGGUCCACACGUGCCCCCUGCCGCCUCCAUCCCACCUCCCCCAGGCUUGGGUGGUGUUAAGGCUUCUACUGAAACUACCCGGCCCCAACCAGUAGACAAACUGGAGAAGAUUCUGGAGAAGCUGCUGACUCGGUUUCCACAAUGCAAUAAGGCCCAGAUGACCAACAUCCUUCAGCAGAUCAAGACAGCACGCACCACCAUGGCGGGCCUGACCAUGGAGGAGCUGAUCCAGCUGGUAGCUGCGCGACUGGCAGAGCACGAGCGGGUGGCAGCAAGUACUCAGAUGUUCCUCCCUCACUGUGACAACGUUUCUGCCCACAGCCCCUUGGUCGGAUCCGGGCCCUGUUCCCUGCUCCAUUGGCCCAAAUCAGUACCCCAAUGUUCUUGCCUUCUGCCCAAGUUUCAUAUCCUGGGAGGUCUUCACAUGCUCCAGCCACCUGUAAACUGUGUCUAAUGUGCCAGAAACUUGUCCAGCCCAGUGAGCUGCACCCAAUGGCAUGCACCCAUGUGCUGCACAAGGAGUGUAUCAAAUUCUGGGCCCAGACCAACACAAAUGACACUUGUCCCUUUUGUCCAACUCUUAAAUGACGGACCUGACUGGGGAGGAAGAAGAGGAGAAACUGAUGUGAACAGGAAGCGCGGGUUCAAGAUUUCUAAAACUCUAUAUUUAUACAGUGACAUAUACUCAUGCCAUGUACAUUUUUAUUAUACAGGUAAUGUGUGUAUAGAAAGUCUGUAUCCAGAUGUUCGUAAAUGAAAGUAUGUAUAUUAUGCAGAAAUGGUCUGUCCCCCUCACCUUUCAAUUCCUCUGGGGGAAGCAGAUUGUAGGUAAGAUGGUAUUUAAUUUGGCCUUGAAAUUAUGAUAUUCCUGCCUAGGGCUGUUUUCAGAUGCAAUAUAAAAACCAUCUAGGAAGCUGCUCUUGCUCUAAGGCCACCCUGCUCUGAUUUGGCUCAGCCUCUAGUCCAUUUUCUUAAGGCUCAUGUACGCCGAUUUGAACCCUGGUGCUCACCUGCUGUCCAGCCAGAUGCCUUGCUUAUUGAAAGCCUCCGGAAGCCUCAGUGCUAUUCUAGCCCCUCUACUCCAAAUGGAGAAAAUGAGACUGAUUGAGGAAAAAAUAUAUAACCCUGAUAGUUUGAUUUUUCGUUGAACAUUUUACUGUGUUAACACUCAUUAUUUGUACAUAGACAUUAGGUUUACAGAAUAGUCUGUUUACAUCAGCAAAAUUCACAGUCCAAGAAUAACAACAUAACCAGGUCCCGUUUCCCCCAUGCCUCCACAAACUUCUGUCCACCCUACUUCCUGGAUAGUCAUCUCUUUAGAAACUAGCAUAGCCCACAGGUCUUUCCUGGGCCAAGCCAUCCCUUUCCACCACUGACUUGGCUUCUGAUCAAGCUUUCACAGACCAACCUUGUGAAGUCCUCACCGCUUCCCCUUCACUUCUGGUCUUCUAGUCUAGCUAUCUCCCCUCCCCUUGAAGGUUAAGGCAGUUGGUUCACAACCAAGUUGUUUGGUGACCUUGGGUGAGUUCCAUGCAGGCACUGGGGUGAGGAGAUGUCUGUGCAAAAUUCCUUUCAGGAUGAUCUUGGGAUAUGGGUUUGAAUUUUUGAAGCAAGAAAGCUAUGGGGGACAUGCUUCCUGUCCUGGGACAAAUGGAGACCAAAGUGCUAUGAAGAAGGGAGGUUAGAUUUCAGGUUUAUAAGUCACUUGUUCUAUGGGUAGCUGUCUGGAGCGAGGUCAUUUUUCCACCUCUGCUUAUUGAGCACUUCCAGUUUCUAGGUUUAUACCUGGGAAAGCUGCGUUUCUAUUAGAGCUUUGAAUCCUUUCCUGUCGCUUUAUCUUUACUCCUAAUGGAAAUGGCUUCAGCUCCCUUCUCUUUUGGAAUUAAACAAGUAAAAAUUAAGCAGUAAUAAAAAAAAUUAGGUCCAGGAAAGGAUAUUAUUAUAUUACCAACAGGUGAAUUUUUCCCAUUCUGGGACCUGGAAAUGCUUACUCGCACUAGUAGUACAUAUGAGGGUAGCAAAGAUUUUUCCUUUCAGAGCCAAAUAAUUCUCUCCUCUCUGUUUAUGUUACUCUUCCUUGUCUUUCAUCCUUGCCUAUCAGCUCAUGAACAUACUCUUUCUCUUCUCUGGUCUUACUUGUCCCGGUUUAUUGACUGGCAACAGUGUAAGGAAAUGGAUUUCCUGGAUCUCCUUGGCAUGUUGUAGGGUGAUGGAAAUGGCCUGAGUACUCCCCACUGUAGAGGUCAGAUGACCCACUUUCUUUGGUUAAUGAAAUAUUAAUGACUCUAGUUUGGUAGCCAUCAUGAACAGGGAAUGUGGCAAAAUGGAAGACCAGUUCCUUUGUUCUUUUCAUUUGGUGGGGGGGGGGAUUCAUUUUUUAUCUUGUAAUCUUAAGAUUUUAUCUCCCCUUAACUUUGCAGCAGCCUUUGGGCCACUUGCAGUAUUUUUCAGUAUCCAAUGAAAAUAUAGAAAUAAGAAGUGGGUCUAAAAAAUAUCCUGUUUCUUUUCUACAAAUCUUUGACACCAAAGGAGUAAAGAGAAAACAGGAGGGGAUGGGGGGCUUAACUGCUUCCUAGUGAAAGCCCCUGGAAACCAGCUGCAGCAGGAAGACAGUGUGGUGGAGGGUGUGCAUGGGGGCCGGGACUCAUCGUCGCUCUUUGCUCUUUCUUGUUCAGGAUCAAUCUGAAAGCAACAGUUAAGUUUUGGCCACCCUUGUUCUCCCUUUUCCCUCUGUUCACUGGCCUGCACUGGUACAAGCUGUGCAGACCCCUGGGGAAGGCCCCUGAUGCAGGGAGUGGAGAUGGGACAGUCAUUUUUCUGGCAUAGAAUUUAAAAAUAGAAAUAUAGAAUACAUAUUUUUACAAGGAAGAAGCUGUUGUCUAGAUUUUUGUUUUACACUUCAGAGUUCACGGUUUCGGGGUAGAAAGGAAGAAACUGUUAAAAGAAAAAUAAGUACAAGUUUUCUCUUUCAAAGAAAAAAAUAGGACAAUGAGACUUACUAAGGAAGGGGUGGAGUUUUAUACCCUGGAAAGAGCUGGGGAAAAACCAGUUUUCCCCAACGUGGGUCGAAAUUAUAAAGUGGAAUGUGGCAUUUUCAUUUCACGGUAGCGGUUCUGGAAGUUUAUUUACACAGUAAGUUCCAAGCUGGAAAUGGACAGUCUCCAGUCUUCCUGUCAGUCUCUGUGGUUAUGGGGUGUUCCCCGUCAGCCAGAGCAGCACCAGGUGCAGUGGGAAUGAAGAGGACUCAGAUAAAAAACUGCGACUCAGUAUUCUUGUUUUAUUGGUUUAUGGCUUGUGGGCAGCUGGCCGAGGCCAGGAUCUCCAGAGGCCCUCUUUGUAUUUCCCUCUCCCUCAUCAGGUAAUUCUACACUGUGCGGGUCCCAUACCUGGAAGCAGUGUGUUGACCAGAGAGGAAUAGGAUCCAGUGGAAUAGUAAGAAAAUUCAGCUCUUCCCAUUAACACUGGUAUCACAGUCGACUGGCUUAGAACUGAUAGGGAGGAAAUGAACUUGGUCCCCACUGUCUAGCCCAAGAACCAGCCUGGGUACCCAAGUACUAUUAGGAGUGGGGAAUAAAAAGCAGGAUGGGCCUCCGUCAAGGGGCUCUUGUGGUGAAGGGAAUUAGGAAGCCCGGAGGCUGUCAUCCUUUUUCCACGCAGCCUUGAUACUGAAUGCGAUGCUGGUGGAGCCAGAAAGCCCUGUGUUCCUGACAUUCGUGGUAUAAUACUAGUGCCACUGUGGGAUGCCUUAGCCAAAUAAAUGAGGGAGACCUUAGAGACAGGGAGAAGGCGAUGAAACUGCUCUGUAUUAUGUCAAGAUCUUACUACCACUUACAGCUGAACAGGAAGAAAUCCAGGCAGGGGGUAUAGGGCAUCAACUCUAUCCCUGUUGAAUGAAUCUUCAAGAGUCUGCUUUCAAGGAUUAGAUAGGAGAGGUUUCCUAUCUAUUCUUAGCACCUCAGCUACAAAGCUCUGGAGAAAUAGGACUGGGGGAGGGGGUGAACAGGUAGCCAGGAAGACAAAGUGCAGACCUGUUAUAUUUGCUCUAUUCCGGCUGCUUUCCCAUAGGGCACCUGGGGCUUCCAGGGUUGGGGAUGUUUCAGUGCUACCAGUCACGUGUACAGUAGAAGGUUCAGGUAGGGACAAGGAAUUAAUAAGGUAGAAAUUCAUUUGUUAGAUGGAACGUUUUAGUGGGCACUUUUCCUUUAAGAGAGUUAAAAAGAGCUUUUUGGCUAGAGAAGCCCUCCUUCCCAUCGCACUUUUGGUCAGGCUGCAACCACAGAAAAGAAGACAUUGGGAAGCAACACCCAUCUUAGAAGGUGGGAUUCUAUCUUGGAGAUGCCGUCUAAAACUGGGACUGGCGAGCGGUCAUGUUCUGGCCUUGCCUCGCUUUGAUCCCAGCUUCCCUGUCUUUGCACUCCUUCUCCUUCUCCUCGUCCAGCCACCCCCAUUUGUACAAAUUAUUUGUACAAAUUAUUUUUAAAUUAUUUUUUAAUUCAAGAGGCAGUCUUUGCACCAAUGUUAUAGGCUUGUCUAUACAGUCCCUAUCUCUAAAGCAGACAGCAAACGGUGCGUCCGUUCCCGCUGACUGUGGCCAGCAGGGAAACAAGAUUGGCUCUUUCUCUGCUAGGGUACUGCAGAGACACACACUGGGGUCACCUUACUUCUGGAACUAAGAAAAGAAGAAUACUUU